UACAGAGACCUCAAGCGUUAUCCGGAAUCAUUGGGCGUAAAGCGUACCGAUAGGUGGUUUACAAAGUCAGAGGUGAAAUCUCAAGGCUCAGCCUUGAGUCUGUCCUUUGAUACUUGUAAACUAGAGGGGCAAAGAGGAAGCUGGAACGAACGGUGUAGUAGUGAAAUGCGUUGAUAUCGUUCGGAACACCAAUAGCGUAGGCAGGCUUCUGGGUGCCACCUGACACUGCUAGGACGAAAGCGUGGGGAGCGAAUGGG
rnacentral:rRNA from 1 species